rnacentral:rRNA from 13 species
CUCAUCAGAGACCACAAAAGGUGUUGGUCCCUCUAGACAGCAGGACGGUGGCCAUGGAAGUCGGAACCCGCUAAGGAGUGUGUAACAACUCACCUGCCGAAUGAACUAGCCCUGAAAAUGGAUGGCGCUAAAGCGGACUACUUAUACUCAACCAUCAUGGCAAGUGCCAGGCCGUGAUGAGUAGGAGGGCGUGAAGGUUGUUGUGCAGCUUAUGCCGCGAGGCUAAGUGAAACGGCCUUUAGUGCAGAUCUUGGUGGUAGUAGCAAAUAUU